rnacentral:rRNA from 1 species
UACGUAGGGGGGCAAGCGUUGUCCGGAUUUAUUGGGCGUAAAGAGCGUGUAGGCGGCCUGGAAGGUCAGCUGUGAAAACUCGAGGCUCAACCUCGAGACGUCGGUUGAAACCACCUGGCUAGAGUCCGGAAGAGGAGUGUGGAAUUCCCGGUGUAGCGGUGGAAUGCGUAGAGAUCGGGAGGAACAUCAGUGGCGAAGGCGGCCAUCUGGAUCAACACUGACGCUGAGGCACGAAAGCGUGGGGAGCAAACAGG